GACAGAGGUGCCGAGCGUUAGGCGGAAUCACUGGGCUUAAAGCGUGUGUAGGCGGGCGGGCAAGUACCUUGUGAAAUCCCACGGCUCAACCGUGGAACUGCUGGGUAUACUGCUCGUCUUGAGCCAAUCAGGGGCGAGCGGAACAGACGGUGGAGCGGUGAAAUGCGUAGAUAUCAGGAAGAACACCCGUGGCGAAGGCGGCUCUCUGGAACGCAACUGACGCUGAGACGCGAAAGCGUGGGGAGCAAACAGG
rnacentral:rRNA from 1 species